rnacentral:rRNA from 1 species
CAGGUGAUAAACCGGAGGUAAGGUGGGGUAUGACGUCAAGUCAUCAUGGCCCUUAUGGGCUGGGCUACACAUCGUGCUACAAUGGUCAGGUACAGAGGGCCGCGAUCCCGCGAGGGGGAGCCAAUCCCAAAAAGCCGAUCUUAGUNGCAGUCUGCAACUCGACUGCGUGAAGUCAGGAAUCGCUAGUAAUCGCGAAUCAGCAAUGUCGACGGUNAUAU